AUUGAACGCUGGCGGCAGGCCUAACACAUGCAAGUCGAGCGAGCGGCGGACGGGUGAGUAAUGUAUGGGGACUGCCCGAUAGAGGGGGAUCACUCCUGGAACCGGUGGCUAAUACCGCAUACUAUCGGAUAACCCAUAUGGGAUUAUCUAGUAGGUGGGGUAAAGGCUCACCUAUGCGAAGAUCUCUAGCUGGUAUGAGAGGAUGAUCAGCCAGACUGGGACUGAGACACGGCCCAGACUCCUACGGAGGCAGCAGUGGGGAAUAUUGCACAAUGGGCGCAAGCCUGAUGCAGCCAUGCCGCGUGUAUGAAGAAGGCCUUAGGGUUGUAAAGUACUUUCAGCGGGGAGGCGUUACCCGCAGAAGAAGCACCGGCUAACUCCGUGCCAGCAGCCGCGGUAAUUC
rnacentral:rRNA from 1 species